GGUUUUUUGAUUAUAAUUUAAUAUUUAACCUGCUCAAUGAAAAUUAAAUAGCUGCGGUAUAUUGACCGUACAAAGGUAGCAUAAUCAAUAGUUUUUUAAUUGAAAGCUGGAAUGAAUGGUUUAAUGAAAUAUAAACUGUUUCGAAUUUAAUAAAUUAAAAAUUUUUUAUUAGUUAAAAAACUAAUUUAAUAUUAAAAGACAAGAAGACCCUAUAGAUUUUUAUAAUUUAAUUUUAGUUUAAAUAUAUUUUAUUUAUAAUAUUUAUUAAAUUAUUUGAUUGGGGUGAUUUUUAAAUUUAAUAAACUUUAAUUUAAAAUUAACAUAAAUAAGUGAUUUUUAGAUCUUGAAUUUUAGAUUUUAAGAUUAAAUUACCUUAGGGAUAACAGCGUAAUUUUUUUAAAUAGAUCAUAUUGAUAAAAAAGUUUGC
rnacentral:rRNA from 1 species